CGCAGCCGCGGUAAUUCCAGCUCCAAUAGCGUAUAUUAAAGUUGUUGCAGUUAAAAAGCUCGUAGUUGAAUUUCGGGGUUAGCAAGUUGGUCGUGCCUUUGGUAUGCACUGGCUUUGCUGAUUCCUCCUUCUUGAAGAACUGUGAUGCUAUUAAUUUGGUGUUGCAGGGAAACAGGACUGUUACUUUGAAAAAAUUAGAGUGUUUAAAGCAGGCUAACGCUUGAAUACAUUAGCAUGGAAUAAUGAAAUAGGACGUUUGAUCCUAUUUUGUUGGUUUCUAGGAUUGACGUAAUGAUUAAUAGGGAUAGUUGGGGGCAUUAGUAUUCAAUUGUCAGAGGUGAAAUUCUUGGAUUUAUUGAAGACUAACUACUGCGAAAGCAUUUGCCAAGGAUGUUUUCAUUAAUCAAGAACGAAAGUUAGGGGAUCGAAGACGAUCAGAUACCGUCGUAGUCUUAACCAUAAACUAUGCCGACUAGGGAUCGGAUGGAU
rnacentral:rRNA from 1 species